AGCGAACGCUGGCGGCCGGCCUAACACAUGCAAGUCGAACGGGCUCUUCGGAGCUAGUGGCGGACGGGUGAGUAUCACGUGGGAACGUGCCUUUAGGUUCGGAAUAAGCCCGGGAAACUGGGUCUAAUACCGAAUGUGCCCUUCGGGGAAAGAUUUAUCGCCUUUAGAGCGGCCCGCGUCUGAUUAGCUAGUUGGUGAGG
rnacentral:rRNA from 1 species